AUUGAACGCUGGCGGCAGGCCUAACACAUGCAAGUCGAGCGGAUGAGUGGAGCUUGCUCCAUGAUUCAGCGGCGGACGGGUGAGGAAUGCCUAGGAAUCUGCCUGGUAGUGGGGGACAACGUUUCGAACGGAACGCUAAUACCGCAUACGUCCUACGGGAUAAGGUGGGGGAUGUUGGGACCUCACGUUAUCAGAUGAGCCUAGGUCGGAUUAGAUAGUUGGUGAGGUGAAGGCUCACCAAGGCGACGAUCACGUAACUGGUCUUAGAGGAUGAUCAGUCACACUGUAACUGAGACACGGUCCAGACUCCUACGGGAGGCAGCAGUGGGGAAUAUUGGACAAUGGGCGAAAGCCUGAUCCAGCCAUGCCGCGUGUGUGAAGAAGGUCUUCGGAUUGUAAAGCACUUUAAGUUGGGAGGAAGGGCAGUAAGUUAAUACCUUGCUGUUUUGACGUUACCAACAGAAUAAGCACCGGCUAACUUCGUGCCAGCAGCCGCGGUAACAC
rnacentral:rRNA from 1 species